GAUGAACGCUGGCGGCGUGCCUAAUACAUGCAAGUCGAGCGAACAGAUGAGGAGCUUGCUCCUCUGACGUUAGCGGCGGACGGGUGAGUAACACGUGGAUAACCUACCUAUAAGACUGGGAUAACUUCGGGAAACCGGAGCUAAUACCGGAUAAUAUAUUGAACCGCAUGGUUCAAUAGUGAAAGACGGUUUUGCUGUCACUUAUAGAUGGAUCCGCGCCGCAUUAGCUAGUUGGUAAGGUAACGGCUUACCAAGGCAACGAUGCGUAGCCGACCUGAGAGGGUGAUCGGCCACACUGGAACUGGGACGCGGUCCAGGCUCCUGCGGGAGGCAGCAGUAGGGAAUCUGCCGCAAUGGGCGAAAGCCUGACGGAGCAGCGCCGCGUGAGUGAUGGAGGUCUUCGGAUCGUAAAACUCUGUUAUUGGGGAAGAACAGCUGUGUAAGUAGCUAUGCACGUCUUGACGGUACCUGAUCAGAAAGCCACGGCUAACUACGUG
rnacentral:rRNA from 1 species